GUAACUCAUUCAGGUUUCCUUCUACAGUGUGAAAUGUGUCAGUCUUUUGCUGUUUGGGUCCACACUGUUUUUAUGAGCUGUAACAUUCACCGCGAAAGUCUCCAGCUUCUCACCUAAAGGCGAUGAAACAACAAGCUCACCAGGAGAAACAAACAGCGCAGGACACGCCGCCUUAAGAGCUAUAAUCCUCACCACGAAGGUCUGCAGCUUCACUCCUGAGCUAGCGAGACCAAGAACCCACCUGAAGGAAAAAACUCCGAACACAUCUUAACGUCAAGAAGGAACGAACUCCCGACGCGCCACCUUAAGAGCUGUAACACCACCAGGGUCUGUGGCUUCAUUCUUGAAGUCAGUGAGACCAAGAGCCCACCGAUUCCAGACACAAUAGGGCUGAGGGCGGUGGCUCAGGUCUGUAAUCCCAGCACUUCGGAAGGCCAAGGCAGGCAGAUCGUUUGAGGUCAGGAGUUCGUGACCAGCCUGGGCAACAUAGAGAAACCUAAAUGUCUCUCCUAAACGUGUCUUUACUAAAAAUACAAGAAUUAGUGGGGUGUAGUGGUGCUGCACACUGUGGUCUCAGCUACUGCAGAGGUUCAGGUGGGAGGAUCACCUGAGCCUGGGAAGUUGGGACUGCAGUGAGUCUGGGAGACAGAGGGAGACCCUGUCUAAAAAAAAAAAAAAAAAAAAUUUAGCAGUACAGUUACAAGGUCAAAGGAUAUGGUACAUUUUUAGAAAGUUUUUAUUAUCUUUCUGCUCCUGAGAUACAGUAGUGUAUGAACAACUCUUCAUACGUUACUCUCCAAGGUUUAUCUUGUUAAUCCUUUAAGACGUAUCAUCUCCCUAUCCUUGGCUGCACCUGAAAAGAGCGGGACUCUGCAGGUAACCCGAUCUUCUCCACCAGGUGAGUCCCGGAUGGAGGUGUCAACUACAAGACCAGGAACAGAGCACUCCUGGGGCUUUGCUGGAACCAUCGGCGUGGGAAUGCUGUCUCUUCCCUCGCCCGAAAUACGCCACGUUCCCGGCGGGUAGCAGACUCGGUUCUAAUCUUCCUCGCCCCAGCCUCUUGGAGCGCCCUGCACGCUGUGGGCGUCUAAUAAAUGCAGUCGGCCCUGCUUGGCCUAAAACUCUCCCUUGAGUGGACCGGACACUAAACCUCUCCAGGUGUCACAGCUGCCGCUCCCGCCGCCACUUUGCUCCUUGCCUGCUCCCUCCCCGCGUUCCGCCUGGGACUCUCGGCGGCAGCUCACACCUUCCCUGAGUGCCGGUGCCCGCCCGCCGGCCCCGACCCCCUGACCCCACCGGCCCCGCCUCCCAUCUCCCCCCACCUCGCCCCCCGGAGCCGACAAAUGGCCGCGGCGGCCCCAGGUCCGGGGUCACUCAGACAAGAGGGCGGGUGGAGGAGGAAGCGGCCAAGUCCACAGUCCUGCUCCGGUGCCGCCGAGCACCGCCCACCUCAGCUGACCAGCCCUGUCCGCUACUGGGCCUCGCCUAGAGGAGGGAAAGGCCGCGGCGUUCGCUCCCUCUGCGGCUCAUGGCGACGACGCUUGGCACAUCCGGGACCCUCAGGCCGCUGCGGUCGCGUCGCCGGCUGCUCGGGCCCCAGCCCCGGCCGCUGUGGUGACUCCGCCGCGCCUCGCCGUCGCCCCCGUCCCGCCCGCCGCCCCAGCCGCCAGGGACAUGUCUAACCUCGGAGGCGUUAGGAACGGGCCUGUCGAAGUGUGCCUGACAGGAAUCAUAUUGACAGGUCAUGAAAAUGAGACCAAAAGAUCUCUGGAAGCAAUUAACGAUAAAAUUUCAUGGAGAAGAAGGCCUUGACUAUGGAGGGGUUACCAGGGUGAUGACAACUCCGUGAGGGUGGAGAUUAUACAUCUCUCAUCAUUUCAGCAACAAGGAAAUAAAUUAGUGGCAGAGUAAGGGUGACUUGAGAUCUCCUGGAAGUGAGGAUCCUUUAAAAAUCCUGGAAUAUACACUGCAGUAAAAGAACAAAGCAUACCUCAGCCUUAAACGACUGAAGAAGAAUGUGAAGUGGGGAAGUGGCUUUGGUUUUCAGUUUGUGGGUUCUGAAUCCACACAAAGACAGGAUUGCUUUCUGAAAACCUGAAUUAAUUAUUGUCCUUACCUCAAUAAGACAAAAAAUUAUAAUCAAAAUCGUUAAUAUUACAGUCACAGAUAUCGCCAAGAUGAGUUUGUUGUUAUAGCCAUAUCCUGGAACUUCUUUCGUGAGCUUAAAAAAAAAAAAAAAAGAACAAUUAAAAAAAGAGUGAAAGCUAACUUUUCAAAACCCCAGUAUUCCAGUUGAGUAGCUUACAGGUUCUUUUUUUUUUUUUUUGAGACAGGGUCUCACUCUGUCACCCAGGCUGGAGUACAGUGGUGUGAUCACAGUUCACUGGAGACUCGACCUCCCCGGGCUCAGGUGAUCCUCCCACCUCAGCCUCUCGAGUAGCUGGAAUUAUAGGCACAAGUCACCACACCCAGCUAAUUUUCGUAUUUUUUGUGAAGAUAGGGUUUCACUAUAUUGGCCAAGCUGGUCUCAAACUUCUCUGACUUCAAGUGAUCUACCCACCUCGGCCUCCCAAAGUGCUGGGUUUACAGGCGUGAGCUACCCUGUGCACUAAUCUGUUUCACUCUCUAAAUGAACAAAGUGGGAGAUCACUGUCAUGGCCAAAGUUACAUGGCCAAGACAACCUAUGGCCUGGGAGUCCCAGGUUCUCCUGUGUGGGCACUUACCUGGCAUAUACUAAAUGAUGGGAAAGUCUGGGUCUCAUGUUUCUGUGUGGUCCUCACCUCACUCGACUUCUGCUCUUUCUGUUCACUCUGGGCUUCCGUGCUCUCAUUGAUACAGUUCUUAGUUUUCCACUGGUCCGUAUCCCAUUCUGCCUUGGACGCCUUUAUUUCCUGCUGCUCACUGAGAAGCUUCAUCAGGAGGCCUGUCCUGGAGAUGAGCUUGGCACAGGUCACUUGCACAUAGGUCUCGGAGCAGUCCGUCUUCAAGGUCCAGAUAACAUGAGAAAUGAAGCUUCUCACAUCGUUGUUGGGGAUGACGGACUGUAGUUGAUGGGUUAGUGGAAUUUCAAACUGAUCACCUGGGGAUGAGAGCAAUGGGUAAUUGAAGCUUUUGGGCUCGGGGGACAGGUCAGUGCCCACGUUGCUGUAUUCCCAUUUUGUCUCAGUUUGUUUAACAGUUGGCUCUAAGUUGAAUGCAGUCCUAGUGGGAAUCUGCCUCAGGAAGAUGAUUGUAGUUUGUGUUUUCAGAGAUGGUGCCUUCUGGCAUAGUAGUGUUUUCCGUAAAAACGUUUUCUUCAGAGGCAUUUCUUGCAGUUGUGUUUUUUACAGUAGUGUUUUCUAUAAAACGUUCUGAAGGAGCAGAUACUUCCGGAAAAGGGUUUUCUUGAGGACUCAGGUCUCCUGAGGAUGAAAAAGCCCCUUGUGAAGGGGAAUUUAUGAGGCUCUUCACUGCAGAGAAUGGCGGCCUCUUUGCGAGCAUCAGUCUAUUGAGAGAACUUUUCUUUCUCAAUUUUUUAAUCUUUUUGGCCUUGGGUGUUCUGUGGGCCACACGGGAGUGAGUUUUAUGAAAGUGGUAUUUUUUUCUGGAAUGUACGGCUCGUUUAGCAGCCUUCAUAUUUUUUAACUUUAGCCUUUGCAUUUUCUAAAAUUAAAAUGGUGUAGGCUAAGUCUUUCGAUCUCUCUCUGACCUGAGGUAGGGCUUUUGCAGUUGUGGAAGGCAGAAGGCAUGCCCAUGGAGAAGGGUUUCAGCAAAGAGGAGACUGUUGGCUUCUGCUCUUGGGUGAAUGAAGGCUUGGUGUAGAUGGCGUUUCCCGCUACGUUCUCGGGCCCCUGCACUAUGUGAGGCUAUUCCAGCUCCCUUGGGGCUGGACUCCCGAGCCUUUUUUCCUUGGCAGCAUUCUCCCCAAAUGCCUGGGCACCCUGUUCCCUCCUGAUACUCUGCUUUCCCACCUCUUUGAAGGGCCUUUUCUGGAUGCUCCUUGGGCCCAUGAGCACUCUGUUCACUCUCUGCAGGUUUUUGCCUACACUUUGAACCUUUGCCAGGCUGUUUUCCUGUGGUUGGACAGUUUCUAAUUUCUUUUCAAAUAUUUGGCAUUUAAAUUUGUUACCUAGAAGGCUGGACUGCAUAAGCAUGGCAGUUUUUUCUUCCCUUUUAACUUCAUCGAUUUUUUCUUGUAUUUCUGCAUCUAACAUCUUUUCUAGCAAAUACACCUUUCUCAAUUUAUUUUCAUAAGUUGAAUUGUUGGAUGCAGGUUGAAACAAGGGGCUCUUUGUAUUGUUUUUCAAAACAGGAGCCUAUCUCCAUCUUGCACAUUUGAAAAAAGCAGUUUAAUGAAUGGUAACAACAUUGAUUCCGCAUCUAGAUUUCCUUCUGAGAAAUAAGGCAAGAUGUAACUUAGCGCAGUGAUAACAUCACUCUUAUCAUAAGUGUCUAGCUGCUCACUCCCAAAGACUGACAAGUUGAUGCCACUGCUGUCUGAGGCUGCCUCCGGCUCAGUAGUCAGCUCAAUGCUCAUGUGCUUCUUCCGGGCUUGUAACACCUUCAUGAACACUCUUUCUGGAUUCCCUACAGAUGCUUCUUCACCUGUAAAAAAAAAAAGAGACUGCUUUGAUCAUGAAAGAUAAUGGGACGGCAUGCAUCAGUCCACAGCUGUAUGCCCCAGCAAACAUUAGAGUGCUAUUCAGAGAGGAGAAACACACACCCAAUCCUAAACCUAUGAAAUGGCAACAACAAAAGGAGGAAAAGACAUCUUUUGAAAAUAUGGCUACCUACUUGGAACAUUGCUAGUGUGACAUAGAGUAACUCUGCUUAGGAUUAUUUCGUUGAUCCCCAGGGGCCAAUUGCCCAGUGCUCAGUCAAAGCCCAAGGUGGAAGACAAGUGCUUCCCUGAUGAGCUGAUAAGCUGUCCUCUCUGCAGAUUGCUCCGUACCCUGUGCUGUCCUGCCUCAGAUGCAGAGAGAGCACAAGGCUCCCUCCUCAUCCUCAGUGUGCCUGUGUUCUUGCUACCAUCACAGCUGAAUGCAAUGAAAGGCUAUCCUCUGAGAGGAGCAGGGGCAGGGUGGGGAUGCUAAAGUGGAGGCCCCCUCCCAUUGCUGAUAGAUCCUCAUCUGGCAUGCACUCCACCCACCCACCCCAUUCUCUGCUACCACAUAUCGUAGCCCCAUCAAAGAAGACGCGACACGGAAAAAACACUGUGCCCACCCUAGUCCUUUUAUUAAAUUUGGGCAGAGAUCCAGGGUAUAGGUUAAGAGAUUUUUAAUUUGCCAGAUGGUAUGCCUAUGUUGUUAAAUAUAUAAUGAAUCUAUGGUAUGAUAGCAGUUUCUGGAUAAACAUUACUUGAGGUCCUAAAAUGCAGAAGGGAAAAAGCAGCUUUUGUCAGAUGCCUACUUUGCUUUCAUUUCAUCUCUAAUAUUUUGGAUGGGGAACCAUCCAAAGCUUCUGGCCGCAUGAAGGUCAAGUGUGCUGGUGUGCAGAUGGGUUUCUUUUCCAGAAUUAAAAGUAUUUUGGGUGGUGCUGAGGGUCAGAGGAAGAAGUAAAAAUUGUGAGAAAGGAGAAACAUGGGCUUGGGGAGAACCCAGAAUUGGGGACAGAAGACCUGGCACUAAGCUAUAGCACUUAGCACCUCUGAUCUUGUUUUUCCUCAUCUGUAAAAGGAGAUUAACAUUGCUUUUCUGCCCACCUCUUGGGGAGAAGGGAAUAAUUUAGUUGGUAAAAAAAAAAAAUGUUUUGAAAAAUAAGCAACUCUGUCUUUAUAUAAGUAGCCAAGUGUUAUUAAUUAUCCACCCCAUAUCACUGGUAGAUACCUGUAUUCAAGCUAUGUGGACAUAAAAGCAGUCACAUUUUAGAAGUCAUGAAGUUGGUGCUAAUAAACCUAAUCUACAGAAAAA